UGAUAUCCCAGUCCUUCUCUGUAUUGGCAAUACCUCCCAGCUUCGUGUCAUCCACAAACUUUAUUAGCACAAGGGAGCAUCAGUGGGGUUUGGACACCUACUUCCCACAGGCUCCUUCAAAAUCUCUGCCGUCACUCCCAAAAAAUAACAAGAAACAUGCUCCACUUUCACACUACACACAGUUACUAUUUCUUAUCGGCCCCAUUUCUCUGCUCCCAAUCCUUUUAGGAGCUCCACACAGACACAUCUCUGUUCCUGUGCAGACUUCAUUGCAGGAGCAAGGCCCUAGACUCACAGUGUCAUCUAUAAAAAUUAUAGUAAUUUUUAAAAUUAAAUAGUUUUAACACUGUAACUUGAGGAUCUGUAAUUUAUGGCCUUCCAUAAAAAAAUUCUAACAGAGGACAUGCAGAGACAAAUAUUUUUAAAAGGCUCAGAAAAGUUCAUUAGAUUUUAAACAGCUUUAUGCACCUUGUAUUAAUGCUACCUUCAGUUCUAGGCAUGGCAGGUAAAAAACAGGCCGGGGGGGAGGCACAUGAGGGGAAGAAGAGAGAGAAAAUUAUUACAUAUCAUUAUGGCAAUCAAAGGGAAAGUGUUUAUUUCAGUUGAUGUAGUGUGGCUACCCAGUGGAAACUGGGUGUUGGGAAAUUAUACUUCUUCUCAUCGCAAUGAUGUGUUGGUGCCUCUACACAAAUUCGCAUUAAAUUUGUUUAAUAAAAUCUUUAUUGAUUAUUUUGUUAUUAAGGAGCUUGUGUUUGUAAGUGAGGAGGUUUAGGUGAAUGAGAGAGAGGCUAGAGAUACAGUAUAAAGUGGUACUGGAGCACAAACAAGAGCUAGAACCUGAUCCAAAGGCCGUUAUAGCUAAUGGAAAUAUUAACAGCAUCAGGGCCCUAAAAACAAGACAUUUUGUUUUAAAGAGUAGUGGAGUCUUUUAAAAAUCUGUUUACCAAAAUCUUUAUUUCUCAUAAAGAAAUCCUAGGGUGAAAUCCUGAUAUCAAUGGCAGAUUUCUCCUUGACUUCAGUGUUGCCUGAAUUUUACCUCAAUAAUUUAUUUUUUCUGAGUAGGAAACAUUUUCAGAUAUCCCUGGUGUAGGUGGUUGAAUCAGAUGUAUCAAAUUGUGGCGUGUGAAACGAAGUGAUACAAAAAAGUUAAAUGUAGUUGAGAAAAGUUUCAGUAUGGGGAAAAUGUAGUGACCUAACCUAGCUUUCAGAACACCAGUUUCCAGGGAGGGAAACAUCAGCUUUGUUUCCUCUAUGACAAAUUUACUCUGGCAACAUCAAAGUAAUUUUCCUUGGGAAUUGGCUGGUAGGAAUACACCAUCUGCACAGGACAUAUAGCAGUACUUCAGAGAGAUUCAGAUGACUCCUUGGAUGGAUAGUUCAUCAAAUCUCUCAAGCUAUAUUCAGGCAAACCAGGUGAGAACUUGGAUAAAGGCCCUCUAAAGAAUGCCUAGUUGUUGCAAGAAAUUAUGUUGGUAAAAGCAGGUGGAAUUCUCUCUGCAUUCACAUGCAUAACUUUGAUCUCAUAAGGAGUUACAGUGACUUCAGUGGGACCGCUCAACCGAUCAAGUUAAGCAAGUGCUAAGAAAUGUAUGCAGGCCUUGGUUGGUACUGAAUCAAUAACCCCACAUAGUGUCAGGGAACAAGAUGCUAUCUUCUUGGCAGGACAUAAACCUGGAGCUGGGUGAAUUAAAAGCAAAUAAUUUAUCUGAAAUGCGCACAAGCAAAUCAUGAUUUUUCUCAGAUUUAUUCAUUAUUCAAAAUUAUUUACUGAAUGUAUCUCUGGAUUGUUUACAAGCAGCCCAUUGGAAUGAUUUGAUAUUCAGAACUGAAUAUUUGAACCAUAUUGGUUAGUUUUGAUUGAACACUUGCAAUAUUUCUCUUUGCUGAUUGGAGGAGUGUCAGCCUUAUUAUCAGGAUUCUUAUUUAUGAAUUCAGCAUUUGCUUUCUGUGAAUAUUUUCAAGUACUCACCGAAGAUUCAUUAUUUCCAGGAACAUUCUUGCUAGGAAACAAAUUUACUAGAAUAUUGUAGUGCAAGUGAACACAAAAAGGGAAGGAAACUCAAUCAAAACAAACUUACUUAAAAGUUUGAGCACAUAUUUGUGGGAUAUUUUUAUUUAUUUAAUUUCAUCAUUGAGCCAGUUCUAUAUAAAACCAAGGGUUUGACUAUUUGUGGUCCUAUCGUUUCUUUUUUUUGUGCUAAAGGAAAAGUGUCAUCCCUGGGGGACCUGGCGGGCUUCUAUGAAGGCAGUGUGCUCUGAUGGACUGAUUUCAGGGCUGGAAGCCAAAGUCUCAUCUUGACUUUUGUAUUCAUUGGUUGUGUGGUCAAAGGCAAGUUACCUCUUUGUCUCAUGUGCUGGAAGAGACUCUUGAUACAUUUCAUCCACCAGAUUACAAGUCAAGGUGAUUUCCCUGUUUCUGAUAAAAAUUAUACCUGGAUACUGCUAGAGACUCCUAAUCUCUAAACGUCCUUGUCAAACCAUGAGGAUCUGUACUUUUGAAUAGUAAGAAUUUUGCCUUUGUCAGGUACCAGAUUUCACCAAAUGGCCAGUAUUUAAAAGGGUUAUCAGUGGGAAGCAGGACACCUGGGCAUGAGCAUGCUGUGUGUUUUCAGGGACAAAAUAUAAACAUCCCCAGAAAUGCAGGUGAAUAUGUUUGUUUGCCAGACGGUGCUGCCACCGUCCUCGAUUCUGAUCUGAGAGAGAGUUUUUGUUUAAAAUGGAAAACAAGUGAAGAAAAUCCUCAGUUCCUCCCCCGCCCCCACCCAGGCACGUGCAACCCAGGGCAGGGGGGAGUAUUACAGGUCAAGGAGUGAAAUAUCUGUUGGAGUUUCUUGUAAUAUGGACAGCAGCUCACCAUGCCUAUUUCCUUUUCAUAAAGGCUUUGAAGCUCUGAAGUGCUAUUUAAUGUCAGUGCUCCAGUUUAUCAUAAAAUCAAAAUCAGUAAAAUCACAUGGUUGCUAGGAGUCCAGGCAAAAGAGGAAAGAAGCAGCUCAAUGACACAUAACCCUACUCCCUCUGCUUCAACCCCAAAUCAACCCCAUAUUCCUCUCCUAGUCUUCUCCUCUCCGCACAUUCUGUGGGGAUGACCUAAUGUGCUUUUCCAGCUUCUCGGUUCCUCUGAUACAUUGGAAGGACUGUCAGGAAGACAGUUGAUUCUGUGUGUGGAAGCAUGUAUUUUGCAAAGGAAGUGGGAAUGAUUGAGUCAGGGAAGCAUUUAAAAGUUUGGAUGCAUUUUAUCUGCAACUAUUGGGCACUUCUUGCAUAACUUUUACCUAGUUCCAACCACCUAACAGUGUUCUCCAGAUUUUGUAACUGCACAUUUUCAAUAUCUAAAAAGUAAGGACACAAUAGCUAAGAACAAAAUCCUCUGGACCUUCCAUUUUUAAUAACUCACCAAUAAUAAUUUUAAUAAUUCACCAAUCUUAACCACCUCUGGAAGAAUUGCAUCUGUCCUGAAGCUUCUCUCCCCUCCCAGAUAUGACUCAUAAUGCAGUGCGGCUAUGGUCAUUUUGAGACUAUAGGCAACUUUACUUCAACUGAAUUGUUUUUAAAGGAAGUUGAGUAAAUGGAAAAAUUUAAAUGAUAAGCUGAGCACAAUAGGGAAAGAUCUUAUCUGCUUCCUGCUAUAUGAUUGUUACUAGUCUUGUAAGGACACAAUAUAAUCUAGCAAAAAUAUUGGUUUAUUUAAUAUUUAUUUAAUGUGAGGAAAAACUUGCCGUAAAACAGCACAGUGCUGGCAUUAAAAUCAGCCUCAACAUUUCAUAUUAGACAUGUUUUAAAAAUAUAAAUAACCCCUUUUUAUGGCUAUCUAUGAAUCUAUAUUCAUGCAUGUACAUUGCUCAUUAAGCACUUGGCUUUUGAUCAGGCCCCGCAGCCCAGCAGAGCAUUUAAGCCCAUAAUUUCAAUGGGCCCAUUCAUGUGCUUGAAGUUAAGCACAUACUUAAGUGCUUUGUUAGAUCAGGGGUUUAAGGGUUCAAUUUUGAAAGGGGCUGAAUGCUUCCAUAAGGAGCUGAACACCCUCCCACUGAUUUCAGUGGAAAUUGCAGGCUUUGAGCACUUCAUCAUAGCGCUCAGCACCUUGCUAGUUCAUGCUGAAAAUGAGCAUCAGUGGCGUAUGUAAAUUGAAUCGUUUGUGACCACAUGCUCCAAAAAUAUGGCAGUGUUUUUUUGGGCAUGCAUCAUCAUAGCUGCAGAAAUGUUGGCUGGAUUGAAACCUCUGUGAAAAUGUGGCCUUUAGGUAUCUUCCUAGCCAAUACAAAAUGGUAAAGUUUGCUUUGCAAAAGGUGAUGUCUCAAAGAACAAACUUUCAAAAGGGGUAGCAAUGAUAGCUGGAGGUUUGGGACUGGAAUUUGUAGGAAACACCGCAUGACUCCACAGCUUUUGAUCUAUAACUCACUCUUGCACCUCUCUCUCUUUUCUCAUAUAAAGAGUGCAUAUUUCUUCAUUGAGCAGGCUGCUUCUUUGGAACAAUAACUCUUAUCUAAGACACUGUAAUUAAUAGAGGUUUUCUUUAAACAAACCUUGAAAGAGUAGACAAGUUCUUCAUAUCAUUUGCCUCCUUGCAAAUAAAUCUCUGUUCAAACGGACUUAACUCACUGAUAAACUAGUUUAAAAAACACCUCCAGGGCAAAUGAAACUGCAGUAUUUCUCAUAGCAAAACCUAACAAAAGCUACAAGCAAUGCAACAACUGGCUUUACCAAACUGAAUAGUAGGAAACAAAGAACCGCUGAGGUCAGGAAAUGUAUUGUAGACGUAGAACAGAAGUUGGUAAUGUUUAAAAAUCUUUGGCCUAAACAGAAGGUUAUUUUGAGUUAUUAGCAUCCUUUAAUUGGUCAAAGCCCAUUUCCUUACCUUGUGUCCAUAAUUUAGCAUGCCUGUAUUUUCAUUAGCAUUGCAGACGUGUCAUGGCCAUGUCACAACACACCCUAGAGGCUGUAGAAUAACAAGUUCCCUGGUGUACAUGUACCGCAGUUAGGGAGGCCUCUGCCUAAAUCUGUGCCUGCUGCAUGGAGCUGCUACAAGGUCUUUACAGGCUAACCUACAUUUGGUAUAUUUGACAAAAGUGGAACCCAAGUAAAGUUUAUCUUAUCCUUGUGAGCCAGUGAGUUUCCCUACUGAAAGCUAAUGGGAACCUUUGUUGUAUCUCUCUGCCCUAAUGUCCAUAUUUCUGGCCACUUCACUCCUAUUUUUACAUGGCUUGGUUCACUUUGGCUCUUGUUAUCAGUCUGAUGACACUCAUCAUCGCAGAGUGUUACUGGACUGAUAACCAGAGGGGAAAGCUAAGAGACAUGAACAUGCUGCGGGAGAGGCAGAAAGAGUGAUGUAGUCAGAACAAUGGAAAUGACCGUAGAACCUAGAAAUGAGAAUAACAAAAUGCAUAAGUUGCCUAGUGCAUAUGCUGCUUGUACAGGGUUGAUCCCUAUGCUAAGGGCAGAAUCUGCUCCUCACAGAAGGCAUCAGGGUGCUAGUUAUGACUAAGGCUCCGCGUUAAUCAUGGCGGUCAGGUCACAGAUUUUGAGACUUUCCGUGACCACCUGAGCAGC